rnacentral:rRNA from 1 species
UAUGGUCAAGCUACUAAGGGCACAUGGUGGAUGCCUUGGCGUCAGGAGGCGAUGAAGGACGUGGCUAGCUGCGAUAAGCUUCGGGGAGCCGCUAAACAGGCUUAGAUCCGGGGAUUUCCGAAUGGGGCAACCCAGUACCGAUAAUACGGUAUUAUCCUUAGCUGAAUACAUAGGCUAUGGAGGCGAACGGGGGGAACUGAAACAUCUCAGUACCCUCAGGAAAAGAAAACAACAGUGAUUUCCCUAGUAGUGGCGAGCGAACGGGAAAGAGCCUAAACCGUAUAUGUGUGAUAGCCCACAGGUGUUGCAUAUGCGGUGUUGCGGGUUUUUACUUGGUUGCGCUGUGGCGCAGCCGGGGAGUUACCAAAUUAAUCUAUAAUCGAACCUUGUGGAAACUUGGGCCAUAGCAGGUGACAGCCCUGUAGAUGAAAUAGAUUAAUCUCCCUUGUAGAACACCCAAGUACUUCGGGACACGUGAAACCCUGAAGGAAUCCGGGAGGACCAUCUCCCAAGGCUAAAUACUACCUGACGACCGAUAGUGAACAAGUACCGUGAGGGAAAGGUGAAAAGUACCCCUGGCGGGGAGUGAAAUAGUACCUGAAACCGUGUGCCUACAAGCCGUGGGAGCACUAUUUGCUGAAGCUUGCUUCUUCAAAGUGUGACUGCGUGCCUUUUGCAUAAUGAGUCCGCGAGUUACUGUGUGUUGCAAGGUUAAGCCGCAAGGUGUAGCCGUAGCGAAAGCGAGUCUGAACAGGGCGUUCAGUAGCACUCAGUAGACCCGAAACCGAGUGAUCUAGCCAUGGCCAGGGUAAAAGUUCGGUAAAACGAACUGGAGGCCCGAACCAGUGAGAGUUGAAAAUCUUUUGGAUGAGCUGUGGCUAGGAGUGAAAGGCUAAUCAAACUCGGAGAUAGCUGGUUCUCCCCGAAAUAUAUUUAGGUAUAGCCUUACGUAAUAGCGGGCGGAGGUAGAGCACUGAAUGGGAUAGGGGUCUUACAGGAUUACCAAACCCAAUCAAACUCCGAAUGCCGCCUUGCCGUAUCGUAGGAGUCAGUCGGCGGGAGAUAAGUUCCGUCGUCGAGAGGGAAACAACCCAGAUCACCAGCUAAGGUCCCUAAUAUUUGCUAAGUGGGAAAGGAAGUGAGGACGCCCAGACAGCCAGGAGGUUGGCUUAGAAGCAGCCACCCUUUAAAGAAAGCGUAACAGCUCACUGGUCGAGUGUCCUUGCGCCGAAAAUGUAACGGGGCUUAAGCAUAUAACCGAAGCUGUGACUUUGAUGCUUGCAUCAAGGGGUAGGGGAGCGUUCCAGAUCCUGUGAAGUCAGACCGUAAGGACUGGUGGAGGUACUGGAAGUGAUUAUGCGGACAUGAGUAGCGACAAUGCGGGUGAGAAACCCGCACGCCGAAAGCCUAAGGGUUCCUGGGGAAGGUUAAUCCACCCAGGGUUAGUCAGUGCCUAAGCCGAGGCUGAAAAGCGUAGGCGAUGGAAAACAGGUUAAUAUUCCUGUACCACCAUAAUGGCGUUUGAGUGAAGGGGUGACGUGGAAGGGUAGGCCAUCCAGGCGUUGGUUGUCCUGGUUUAAGCCUGUAGGUGGGGAAGGCAGGCAAAUCCGCUUUCCUAAUUGCAAACACUGAGAGGUGAUGAGGAGGAGCUUUGCUCCGCAAACUGGUUGAUCCCAUGCUACCAAGAAAAACCUCGUAGCGAGUCAGUAUGGUGACUGUACUGUAAACCGACACAGGUAGGCAGGGUGAGUAUCCUAAGGCGCUUGAGAGAACUCUCGUUAAGGAACUCUGCAAAAUGACUCCGUAACUUCGGGAGAAGGAGUGCCCCACCAGCGUGAAGCGGUUCGCCCGUGGAGCGUGAAGGGGCCGCAGAUAAAUGGCGGUAGCGACUGUUUACUAAAAACACAGGUCUCUGCUAAGUCGAAAGACGAUGUAUAGGGACUGACGCCUGCCCGGUGCUGGAAGGUUAAGGGGAAGUGUUAUUCGCAAGAAGAAGCUCUGAACCGAAGCCCCAGUAAACGGCGGCCGUAACUAUAACGGUCCUAAGGUAGCGAAAUUCCUUGUCGGGUAAGUUCCGACCUGCACGAAUGGCGUAACGAUUUCCGCACUGUCUCGACGAGAGGCUCAGCGAAAUUACAAUAGCGGUGAAGAUGCCGUUUACCCGCGGUUAGACGGAAAGACCCCGUGAACCUUUACUAUAGCUUGACAGUGAGUUUUGGGAUGUUCUGUGUAGGAUAGGUGGGAGACUUUGAAGCUGGGACGCUAGUUUCGGUGGAGUCAACCUUGAAAUACCACCCUGAUCCUUCUGAGAUUCUAACCUGGGCCCGUCAUCCGGGUCGGGGACACUGUCUGGUGGGUAGUUUGACUGGGGCGGUCGCCUCCCAAAGAGUAACGGAGGCGCACGAAGGUUCCCUCAGGCUGAUUGGAAACCAGCCAUAGAGUGUAAACGCAUAAGGGAGCUUGACUGCGAGACAGACAUGUCGAGCAGGUGCGAAAGCAGGUGUUAGUGAUCCGGCGAUUCCGCAUGGAAGGGUCGUCGCUCAACGGAUAAAAGGUACUCCGGGGAUAACAGGCUUAUCUCCCCCAAGAGUCCACAUCGACGGGGAGGUUUGGCACCUCGAUGUCGGCUCAUCGCAUCCUGGGGCUGGACAAGGUCCCAAGGGUUUGGCUGUUCGCCAAUUAAAGCGGUACGUGAGCUGGGUUUAGAACGUCGUGAGACAGUUCGGUCCCUAUCUGCCGUGGGCGCAGGAUAUUUGAGAGGAUCUGUCCCUAGUACGAGAGGACCGGGAUGGACGAACCUCUAGUGUACCAGUUAUUUCGCCAGAGGUACAGCUGGGUAGCUAUGUUCGGAAUGGAUAACCACUGAAAGCAUCUAAGUGGGAAGCCAACCUCAAGAUUAGAUAUCCCUAUCACCGAGAGGUGAUCUAAAGACUCCUGGUAGACUACCAGGUUGAUAGGCCGGGUGUGUAAGUGUGGUAACAUACUAAGCUGACCGGUACUAAUUGGUCGUGAGGCUUGACCAUAU